GAGAGCACAAUACGAUGAAAGUUGUAAGUUGUGUUCUUGGGGGGGAGUUAUUGUCUAUCGUUGGCCUCUAUGGUAGAAUCAAUCAGUGGCCUGAGAGGCGGUGGUUUACCCUGU
rfam:Gossypium raimondii chromosome 7, whole genome shotgun sequence.